GAAGCCUUUUGUUCUUUGUCGCUUAAGAUUAAAAUCAAACGACGGUGAAGAUGAUCAACAAAGUUCCCGUUUGGCUUCUAGUUGGAGAAAUUAACGGCAGAAAUUUUGAUUGAACAGAUGGAGUCGGAACGGGAUUUGGCAAAUGGCAUGUCCAUCAGGAAAGAAAGGCAACAGCUAAAGAAAGGAUGUAAUGGAGUUGGGUUAAUUUUAAAUUAGUCAUAUGGGAAAUGUUAUGCUUUCAAGAGAUGUAAUAAAAAUGUAUUUACAUGUCUUUUAGUCACGGCGUGUUUUUGUGUUUUUAAUAAUUAUUAAAAAAGUGAUCUCCUACUUGAGCUCUCGUAUAGAAAAAUACUUGCUGCUGUGUAUCGAAUUUGAAAGAAGAAAAUAGAAAUAUUGAUAUUGUAUCC